rnacentral:misc_RNA from 1 species
UCCCGGUUAACCCGGGCAGUCUCACUAGAGUGCCCAUCCGAAAUGUUGGCAACUAAUGACAAGGGUUGCGCUCGUUGCGGGACUUAACCCAACACCUCACGGCACGAGCUGACGACAGCCAUGCAGCACCUGUGUAGCGGCUCCGAAGAGAGAUGUUGUUUCCAACACUGUCCACUACAUGUCAAGCCUGGGUAAGGUUCUUCGCGUUGCAUCGAAUUAAACCACAUGCUCCACUGCUUGUGCGGGUCCCCGUCAAUUCUUUUGGGUUUCACCCUUGCGAGCGUACUCCCCAGGCGGUAUACUUAACGCGUUAGCUUCGGCACAGCAGGGGUUGAGACCUGCUACACCAAGUAUACAUAGUUUACGGCUAGGACUAC